UACGUAGGGUGCAAGCGUUAAUCGGAAUUACUGGGCGUAAAGCGUGCGCAGGCGGUUAUGUAAGACAGAUGUGAAAUGCCCGGGCUUAACCUGGGAACUGCAUUUGUGACUGCAUGGCUAGAGGUUGGCAGAGGGGGGUAGAAUUCCACGUGUAGCAGUGAAAUGCGUAGAUAUGUGGAGGAACACCGAUGGCGAAGGCAGCCCCCUGGGUCAAGACUGACGCUCAUGCACGAAAGCGUGGGGAGCAAACAGG
rnacentral:rRNA from 1 species